rnacentral:lncRNA from 1 species
GUGCAAACUUCAGUCUUGGCAACCCCAAAGGCAUUGCUAUCACUUGUGUGCUUUCAGUUUGCUUUUUGCCAGCAUCCUGGAGGCAGGUACAGGAGAAACACGUGUUGAGCUGUGCCUCUCCUGCCUCUUUCAGCACCCCCUGCUCUGACGUGGACUGUACCUGCUGAGAGCAAGGCAGCGCCCGAAAAACAUCAGGGAAUCAGGUUACAUGAGAUCCUUCCAGCUUCGGGUGAUUAACUCACUCCAUUUCAUAGAACUGGGACGCUUUUGAAGAAAACCCAAUGGAAUACACACACACAAGUCACUGGCAAUCAGCGAAGCAGUAGCAGCUCAUGGAGCUGCCCUUCACAAACCUUGAACUAGCUUUCAUCUUGCUGGCUUUUGUCAUUUUCACCUUGUUUACCCUGGCUUCUAUCUACAGUGGCUCCUAUGACAACAAAGAAGGUAAGAACACAGAUGCCUAAGGACUUCAGGACCAAUCAGUUAUGGAGGAAGUACAGAGGAGUAGAUGAAGAGAACAAAAAAAAAGAAAUUCAUAGACGUCACAAUAUCCAAAGAGGAAAGCUACACACGGGAAGAAUACAAGAAAAGGAGCAAAUCCAACAAGAAAAAGAAGCGUUCAAACAUGACUGAAGUGGUUUAGAGUGUUGCCCAAGUCCAGUGUUGGAAACACCUCUGGAAGAGGUAUCCCUGGGAGCUGGUCACCUGAAGACAGUGAAAAAACGGAUGUGAGAAAGGAAGGACCUGGUCAUCCAUCAGAUGGAAUCCAGACGUGACAAUUAGAGUUAAUGAACCACGACCCAUGAAGCUGCUUCAGCGCCUUUUUACAGCCCCACUUCAUGGCCUUCAUAAAAGUACCAGGGCUUAUUUUACAGAGCACAUCUGCUCUAAAUUCCCAAAGGAGAAACUUACAUUCAGAAGUUAUUUUUGUUUCUUCAACACCUCCCAGUCAUUUAUAAAGAAUAUUUAACAGCAAUGCAUUUACUUUUCUACCUGUUCAGUCAACAGAAUAUCAGAAUUUGAAGAUAAUUUAUAUUUUUUUUUCAAUAAAACAAGAUUAUUAUAAUAGUUAUUUAGUUUG